GAUGAACGCUGGCGGCGUGCCUAAUACAUGCCAGUCGAGCGAACAGACGAGGAGCUUGCUCCUCUGACGUUAGCGGCGGACGGGUGAGUAACACGUGGAUAACCUACCUAUCAGACUGGGAUAACUUCGGGAAACCGGAGCUAAUACCGGAUAAUAUAUUGACCCGCAUGGUUCGAUAGUGAAAGACGGUUUUGCUGUCACUUAUAGAUGGAUCCGCGCCGCAUUAGCUAGUUGGUAAGGUAACGGCUUACCAAGGCAACGAUGCGUAGCCGACCUGAGAGGGGGAUCGGCCACACUGGAACUGAGACACGGUCCAGACGCCUACGGGAGGCAGCAGUAGGGAAUCGUCCGCAAUGGGCGAAAGCCUUACGGAGCAACGCCGCGUGAGUGAUGAAGGUCUUCGGAUCGUAAUACUCUGUUAUUAGGGAAGAACAAAUGUGUAAGUAACUAUGCACGUCUUGACGGUACCUAAUCAGAAAGCCACGGCUAACUACGUG
rnacentral:rRNA from 1 species